rnacentral:rRNA from 1 species
UACGGAGGGGGCUAGCGUUGUUCGGAAUUACUGGGCGUAAAGCGUACGUAGGCGGCUUUGUAAGUUAGAGGUGAAAGCCCGGGGCUCAACUCCGGAAUUGCCUUUAAGACUGCAUCGCUUGAAUCAUGGAGAGGUGAGUGGAAUUCCAGGUGUAGCGGUGAAAUGCGUAGAUAUCUGGAGGAACACCGGUGGCGAAGGCGACAUCCUGGACCGGCAUUGACGCUGAGGCGCGAAAGCCAGGGGAGCAAACGGG